ACAUCAAAUUAACCACUGAACAGAUUCAUUGUUUAGAAAAAAUAUUGAAAUUUAAAAGCUCACAUAAUAAGCCCCAUUCAUCAACAUAAAUCAUAGGUUCAGUCCAACAAAAUAAAAGUCUAGCAACAUAAAAAUAUCGCCAUCUAGUGCUCGUUCUUGGAGUCCAAUCCACAAAUAAUUCUUCAUUUCCCCUAGCCUUGAGACUUGAAAGCACCUGCACUGCAAACUCCAUGAAAUAUCAUUAUAAUCAUUAAUAUUUUAUAGUGUCACUUUGAUGUUUGAUCUAUCAAGAAUUACAUUAGGAAAAUAUCAAAACAUACCAGGCUAAAAUCCAUAUCAGAACAUAUACUCAUCCUGAAAAUUUCAGGAUGAAAAUAUAAGAACAUGUGCAUCCAAAUAUUCAAUUAGGAAAGGGCCUAAGUUUUAUAAUUUGUAGAGACUCAAUAUAAUUUUAUCUCAAUAAUGGAUCAAACUAACCAUCAACAGCAAUAGUGGAGACCGAGGAUG
rnacentral:lncRNA from 1 species